rnacentral:rRNA from 1 species
UACGAAGGGGGCUAGCGUUGUUCGGAAUCACUGGGCGUAAAGGGCGCGUAGGCGGCUUGAUAAGUCGGGGGUGAAAGCCUGUGGCUCAACCACAGAAUUGCCUUCGAUACUGUCGAGCUUGAGACCGGAAGAGGUAAGUGGAACUGCGAGUGUAGAGGUGAAAUUCGUAGAUAUUCGCAAGAACACCAGUGGCGAAGGCGGCUCACUGGACCGGUUCUGACGCUGAGGCGCGAAAGCGUGGGGAGCAAACGGG